rnacentral:rRNA from 1 species
AAGCUGAUCAGCAUGCCGCGUGCAGGAUGACGGCCCUAUGGGUUGUAAACUGCUUUUAUACGGAAGAAAAAUCCCCUACGAGUAGGGUGAUGAAAGUACCGUACGAAUAAGCACCGGCUAACUCCGUGCCAGCAGCCGCGGUAAUACGGAGGGUGCAAGCGUUAUCCGGAUUUAUUGGGUUUAAAGGGUGCGUAGGCGGAUUAUUAAGUCAGCGGUGAAAUCCUGCAGCUCAACUGUAAAACUGCCAUUGAUACUGAAAAACUUGAAUAUGCUUGAGGUAGGCGGAAUGUGUGUUGUAGCGGUGAAAUGCUUAGAUAUCACACAGAACACCGAUUGCGAAGGCAGCUCACUAAGCCAUUACUGACGCUGAUGCACGAAAGCGUGGGGAUCAAACAGGAUUAGAUACCCUGGUAGUCCACGCCGUAAACGAUGAUAACUCGCUGUCGGCGAUAUACAGUCAGCAGCCUAGCGAAAGCGAUAAGUUAUCCACCUGGGGAGUACGAUCGCAAGGUUGAAACUCAAGAAAUUUGACGGG